GGGUUAGCAGAGUCUGUAACCCGAGGUACCACUGUAGUUUGUUUUUAUGUAAUGGGCAAUGAGCCCUUGGAGUUUGUGGGAAAUCAUUCUUCCUGGUUCUCAGUUACCUUUCAUCCAAUAUUCCAGAAACUGUCAACUAGUAAAGUAAAUUAUUGCCCUCAUAAGGAGAGAUGAUGAUUUAAGGACUAGGGAGAUAAUGGUGGUCUGUGGAGCAGGGAGCACAACCGUAGUCAAUUUUGCAAAACUAGGAAUGUUCCUCAUUAGAGACAUACAGCAACUAGGACUGUGGUUUAAUCAAAUUCUGGUUACCAAGAGCUCUUCAAUUGAGAAGAUCACUAAUGGCAGACAAGCUUCCCUGAAAGGCAGCCUGUCCACCACCAUCAGUAUCAUCUUCAAUUAUUUUGAAAUUUUCACAAAUGUCAAAUUUGCUCUGUAGGUCUCCCUGGAGCAUGAAAUAUUUUGGCUGAUGAUAGUUCACAACAUUACAAAAGCAUACAAAGUGCCAGAUAACACAAUUCAAUUGAAAAAUGAUUAUUAUUUUAUUUGGCUACAGUCUUAUGUUUGGCUGCCACUCUGCUGUCUCUCAUUGCCAAGGACAGCCCUUGUUUUCUGUUACCCAACUCCGGUAAAUCACAAUCACUGCUCCUAUUUCUGUCUCCAAGGAAAGGCCAUGUUGAAAUUCAACUAGCAGUAAUUUGCUAACAUUGUCAUUCUUCAGGGUUUAGUAUCCCUGCCAGAGUCUCUAGAAGUUAAUUCUCUGCAUGGGGGAUGGAUGCAUCUAUAGUGAAUCUGUUUUAAAGCUUGUUUUUGAUGCUAUUUUUAAUGACUAUUUUAUACCAUUUUAUAUAAACUCCUUAGAGGGUUUUUAAAAAAGUGAUAUACAAAUCUUGUUAAAUAAAAUUUAUUUUUUUAAAAAAUGUGCAUGAACCCUAAUGCUGUAAUCCUAGACAUGCUUACCUGAGAGUAAGUCCAACUGAAUUUUAAUCUGAAUACUGUAUAGGGCUUUGUGCGCUGGUCCUAAUAUCUUGAACUGGACACAGUAGCUCACUGGGAGCCAGUGUAGUGCUGUGAGUAUCAGUGACACAUAGUCCCAUUAGACUUAGUAUUCUACACUAGCUGCAGUUUCUGGACCAUCUUCAAGGGCAGCCCCGCAGAGAGUGCAUUGCGGUAGUCUAGACAUGUAUAAGAUUGCACCGCAAAGUACCAUGCAGGGUUUAGCAGUGGCCAGAGGAUUUGAGAAGAUCAGUCUACAUCCCAAUCCCAAAGAAGGGCAGUGCCAAAAAAUGCUCCAGCUACCACACAAUUGCGCUCAUUUCACACACUAGCAAGGUUAUGCUUAAAAUUCUACAAGGCAGGCUUAAGCAGUAUGUGGACCGAGAACUCCCAGAAGUGCAAGCUGGAUUUCGAAGGGGCAGAGGAACCAGAGACCAAAUUGCAAACAUGUGCUGGAUUAUGGAGAAAGCUAGAAGCUUCCAGAAAAACACCUACUUCUGCUUCAUUGACUAUGCAAAAGCAUUUGACUGUGUCGACCACAGCAAACUAUGGCAAGUUCUUAAAGAAAUGGGAGUGCUUGAUCACCUCAUCUGUCUCCUGAGAAAUCUCUAUGUGGGACAAGAAGCUACAGUUAGUACUCGAUAUGGAACAACUGAUUGAAUUCUGGUGCUGGAGGAGACUCUUGAGAGUCCCAUGGACUGCAAGAAGAUCAAACCUCUCCAUUCUGAAGAAAAUCAGCCCUGAGUGCUCACUAGAAGGACAGAUCCUGAAGCUGAGGCUCCAAUACUUUGGCCACCUCAUGAGAAGAGAAGACUCCCUGAUGUUGGGAAAGAUGAAGGGCACAAGGAGAAGGGGACAGCAGAGGACGAGAUGGUUGGACAGUGUUCUUGAAGCUACCAACAUGAGUUUGACCAAACUGUGGGAGGCAGUGGAAGACAGGAGUUCCUGGUGUGCUCUGGUCCAGGGGGUCACGAAGAGUCAGACAUGACUAAACAACUAAACAACAGCAAUGCAGCUUCCUAUGUUCCUUUUGCGGAAAGCCCUUCUCACCUGCUGUAUUUGUUUAUUCUUUAUUGUUGUUACGAGAUAUGCCUGAAAAAUAGAGUUACUCUGCGAUAUGUAAUCAACAGUUCAAUAUAUUCUGCAGCAGCUACGGUAUGUGAAAUGGCAUCACACGGGGUCUAGCCGGCUGUUUUGCAUUCUGCAGCUGCUGAGGAAUAUUUUGAGCGGUCGAUCAAAUCUGCCUUAUAUCGAUCAAAUCUUCCUUUAGCCCUCCAACCUUAGUAUUACCUGCAGUAACUGGCAAUGGCUCUCCAGGGUUUCAUACAGGAGUUUUUCCCAAUCCAUAACACGAGUUGCAGGAUACUGAGCCCAGUAGCUCUUCAGCAUGCAAAUGAAAUGCUCCGGCACUCAGCAAAACCCUUCCCUAAUGUGUAUAAUAGCAUAUGUGUCUUGGGCAGCAAUUCAUGGUAUCAAAAUUCAGGUCCUACACAAGCAUGUCCCUAGAUUCAUCUGUGAAUCGUGGGAGGGAGCAAAUGUGCAAAUAAUUGAAAGUAAGCUCUUUUGAAAGCAGACCAAAUAUACAUAGGAUUGGCCACUAAGGUCUGAGUAUGCCAGCAAGCACAUUCCUGGGGUCUAAAAUUUUCUCAAGUAGGAGCUCUGCCCUCAAAUGAAAGGGGAUGGCCUAGAUUUCUUCUUCUAUAAUAUUUCUUAAAAUUCCAAAACAAGUGGACUGUGAUCUGUGGUUAAGAUCAAAAUGUGCUUAUUCCAUAACAUGAAACAUACCACAGAGUGCCUCACUCGACAUUACCUGCUUUCACUGUUCAUACUGAGACUAAAGUUCCACUGUCAAGAAAAGUGUGUGUGUGUGUGUGUGUGUGUGUGUGUGUAAAACAGCAUCUAUACAUAAUUAAUUAGCAUUUUCUGCAUCCUAUUAAAUAAUGCUGGGAGGGCACCCAUUUGUGACAUGAAUUAAUUAUGGCACCAGCAGAUGAACAAAUUGUUUUGCAGGAGCUGCACAAUAUUUCUGCCACAAACAGUACAGAGUGCCUGCCCUAUCAUUCAUCCAGAUGUCGCUGAAAUCACAUGGCAGAGCAAAUGUCGUAGAUUAAGCUGGCAGCUUCUGAAAAUUGCACUACAGUUUGCAGCUCCUGCAGCAGUCCGGUUAGUGGCAAAUGGGUCUCCCUGUGGAGGAAGUGGCUUGAGGAUCACAGUCACUGGCAAUUAGUUCUUUGCAGUUCUCCAGGGCUUGUUGUGUAAUAUUGCGGUUUAGUGUAAAAAAAAAGUUUUGGAUUGGGACCCAUGGGGCCAGAGUUCAGAUCAGCCCACAUCCAGACUCAUCUCUCAGUCAUGGAAUAAGCACAACUACCUCCAGUUCAGAAAUCACCACUUCUGAGGUUGAAUUGACCCAGGGGCUUAUUGGACUGUGUGGUUAAAGGAUCCUGGAUUCAAGGUGCAUUAACUGAGUUAAAACAGUUUUAAAUCAAUUACUUUUCUUUCCUAUGCCAGUAAAAGGUUAAAUGCAGAAUGUACCAUAACCUUUCCCCUGAUUUGUAGUGUAGCUAUUCACUGCUGUUGUCUGCACUGAGCCAUUGUGCCAUUGAGAUGAAUUUCUUCACAAUAUAUUUUAUCCAGAGUUCUUAAAAGGAGUGAUUUCUCCUUUCCCCAGUUAAUAGCAGCACCCAAGAGCAAGUUGUACUAUAUGUUUCACAAAAGGUGGCUUCAUUAAUUGAUGGAGCUGUCUGGAUCACAGAUAAUCUGUUGAACUGGCUUCCUUCCUAUAGUUUAGAUUGCUUGUAGAAGCUGCAGCAGCUUUUGGGCAGGUUGACCUGAUCCACGUGCAAUUGCAGAGUAUUUCCAGUCCACCUCCAGCGUAAAUUCAGAAUAUCUUGAAGGCAGACUGGAGGAAAAUACUGCUGUUAUGAUUUCUUGCUUGCUUUUUGUUUGUUGGUCAGUGAAAUUCUAAAAUGAAAGGGUUGGGCUCUGUGCCUGUUUGGGUAUGACUCUGCAUGCCUCUCCAAACCUGGAAUAUUUUAUCCCUAACCUCAGACAUAAGAGACUGAUUAUGAUUACUCUAGUGUAAUAUACUCUGUACAAGAGUAGAGAUUAUUGCUUUACAUUUUUCAGGACUGAGCCACGCAUUACAAAUGUGUUUUGCUGUGCUCUGAGGUGCCCUGACUCAUAUGAAACAAUUUUUUUUGCCUCUUAGGUUGAAUACGUCAUUCUUUAAUUUUAGAGAAAAGGAGGGGAAGCCCAAAGGAGAAGCAUGGAGACUGGGAGAAUGGAUGGGUGAUGGCGAAUGCCCUUCCCUCCUUCGGAGGCCUUGGGCAAACUGCUGGGCUGGGCUAGAAGCAAGUCUCAAGUAUCUCACAGGGACGGUGGGGGGAGUUGCAUCCUAAACACCUAAAAUUGAUUUCUUCAGAGCACAUCAGCACAUGUCCCACAAGGCAGUGGGUGUGGAUUUUUCCUUGGGGUUUACUCCCAAAGCGUUUCUCACGAGUAAGUAUAGCCACAAGCUAGCAAAAGUUUAGGACCAGUGCCAGAUUUACGUAUAAGCUAAACAAGCUAUAGCUUAGGGCUCCGCUCACUUGGGGGCCCCCAAAAAUAUUUAAAGGAAAAGAACCCCUGGAUGUACAUUUCC
rnacentral:lncRNA from 1 species